rnacentral:rRNA from 1 species
UACGGGGGGAGCAAGCGUUGUUCGGAUUUACUGGGCGUAAAGGGCGCGUAGGCGGCCACCGCAAGUCGAUUGUGAAAUCUCCGGGCUUAACCCGGAAAGGUCAACCGAUACUGCGGGGCUAGAGUGCAGAAGGGGCAACUGGAAUUCUCGGUGUAGCGGUGAAAUGCGUAGAUACCGAGAGGAACACCUGCGGCGAAGGCGGGUUGCUGGGCUGACACUGACGCUGAAGUGCGAAAGCUAGGGGAGCGAACGGG